rnacentral:SRP_RNA from 1 species
GGGUAUAGUUUUUAAUAAAAUUUUAAAACAACUUAUUUUGUCAGGAUCGUAAGAUAGCAGCAUGAAGAUUGAAUUAAUUAUUUGUAUUAAUACUAUACCUUUGAU